GGCCUGGCAGCGCACAUGUGCUGCUGUGGGUUUUUUUUUCUCCCGGGGAGUGGUGUCACGUUUUUGCAUAUAUCAGGAUAUAUUUCCCUUUGGACUUCUAUCAGCUUGUUAAAAAAAAUUGGUCAUAACGCUUUAGCGAUUUUGAUAUCAGGAGAAUAAAUGUUCCGGCAAAGGAGCCAAAACAUUUUUUUAAAAAUAGAAAAUAUUUAUUGACGAGUUAUAAAACUAGCACCAGAUAAGGCAGACGUUUGUGUGCAGAGUUUGGCUUGCCUGCGAGCCACAGGGGCGCGGCCAGAGGCUGCCUCCGGUUCCCCGAGGCUCGGCUUCCACCUCCUGGCUUCCACCUCCUGCAGCUUAAACUGUCUUUCCCUUUUAACGCGCCGCACUGGAGGGAAUUGUCCUCACCGGAUCCAGUCCUCGAGAUUGCCACGAGCUAUCGGUGGGCACGAAGCUCUCCCAGAUGCCACGGCACAGAGCAGAAAAUAUUUAUUGACAAGCUAUAACAGCAGCACCGAAUAGGGCAGAGAAUUAGAUGGGCCAUCUUUCAUGCCGUGUUCUCUGCAGAGGUCGCCCGUCUUCCUCCUCUUCCUGCCCCAAUCCUCUCCGCCUUCUGGCUCAGCUGAAAUGUCAUCUCCUUUUCUCUUUUGGGCUCCUCCUUUGGAUUCUAGACUGAAAGAAUUCUGCUUGUUUUUUAGCCUACAUGGUUGCUUUCUUUUCUGAGGUCAGAGGGACCAGCUUGGGUUCGUGUCAGUUGUCUUGGCUUCUAGCAGGAAUCAUAGCAGAUGGGAGGUGUUCUGUUUGCUGAAUGAAUAAAUGAAAACUCAACGACA